ensembl:misc_RNA predicted gene, 25223
GGCUGAGCCAAAGGGAGUGGGUUAUCUCAACUGAUUGAUCACAGUUAGUUAUAGAUUGAACUCUUGGUUCUAUACUUUCCCCCUUCUCACAACUGCACUUGACCAGAGAC